CCAGGUCCUAGUGCCAGACUAAGGCCAGAGUGUCAGGGGCUACUGAAAAGGUUACUCUAUGAUCCCUAAAUUUCAGGCCCUCUGGAGUCUCAUCAGCCUGUGAUCUGAUCAGCCUGAAGCCACAUGGCCUUGGUCCAUCUUCUGUUGCUCGAACAAAAUACCCAACCUGGGAUAAUUGAUAAAGAAUAAAGGUUUAUUUGGCUCGAGGCUCAGAGGCACAACAGCAGCAUCUGGAGGCUGCUUUCUCUGUGGAGACCGAUGAGAACACAGAGCAGAGUGUGCCCAACGACCUCUGCAGAGUUCUGCAUGGGGCAUUCUGAGGUUUGCAAGUGGCUCCGCCCAGACUCAGUGCCGGAUGCCAGUCAAGGAAAAUGUACAUGGCUGCUCCGCCGUCUCCAAAAACCACUGGGCACUGGGACGGGAGGACAACAAACCAAGGCACGUCCCAAACGAGAAACAGGUGGCUUCCUGCGAGUAUAUCCUAAUGCGGCCUCGGCUCGGUCUCCCCGCUCUCCAAUGUGGUUCCCAUUUGCAUGAGGCUGAGUCUUUAGAGCCUGUAGCCCAGAUGCAAAAUGAUAUAAAUUACAGUUGGCCACUCCAGCCUGCCUGCUUGGGAUUGUGGCAUAAACAUUAAGGCAAAGGCUUACUGAUUAUAAGGGAGAGAUACUGCAGAGAGCUAGGGAGGGUAGGGGACCCAACCUGUCCUCUCUCUGCUCCUUUUUGCAUGAAAGGAAGGGCCCAACUCAAUUCUCCCAGGCAUCUUUAAGGACAAGGCAUCCUAAAAACCAGCAAGGAGGACCUGAAGCUUCAUCCUCAAACCUCGCCCAUUCUAUGAGCAUGAACAUUGCCUUCCUCCGUUCUUGUUCUCCGGCCAAGGUGGGUCCCACUAUCUGAGGUUCCCCAGCUCCCAAGAGCUAUUCCGAUCCUUCAUGGAAUAUUCUGGGCAUUUGGUUUAGCAACCCACUGAUGUUCUACCCCCUGGAUCUUGGCUUCUCCCUUCUUAUAGACCAUACCAAUUAUCCCUGAUUACAGAAUGAAUGUAUAGCUCUCCUUGGCUGCUGUUUGCAGACCCUGGUCUUCAGAAGAUGGAGGGGGGAUGCGUAUGUUGAAGGUGCAGCAGGAGGUGAAGGUGGGUCAAGCUUCCGAUCUUCUCAGUAGGAUGUGGUGGAGCACUGGGGAGACCCCAGCCCUGCAGAGUUAGAGCCAUAAAAACAAGCUCAAGAACAGCCUGGGCAGCCGGGCGUGGUGGCGCACGCCUUUAAUCCUAGCACUUGGGAGGCAGAGGUAGGCAGAUUUCGAGGCCAGCCUGGUCUACAGAAUGAGUUCCAGGACAGCCAGGACUACACAGAGAAACCCUGUCUCGAA
rnacentral:lncRNA from 1 species